CAUAAAUGAGGCCAAGAACAGUGAGAAAUGCUUGGAAAAUUUUCAGUAGCUUUCUACUCAUAUUGCAGCUUAUGUAUAUGCACCAAGGUCUAUUGGAAUCUAAGACCAUCAGAAGACUUGGAAUUCGACCUGAUGAAGUUGCAAGAUUAGUAAGUCCAUGAGCUUCAUAUCAAAUUCUGAUAAUCUAUAUUUUGAUAAUCAUGUUUUAAAAAAAAUUGGACUGGUCUCCAUUCAGAAUUACAUUUGCUUCUCAAAGAUCCCCUUCAUCAUUUGUUGACUACAGUAGUCGAUUAUAUAAUAGUGCAAAUUGAUUUAACUUUGCAAAAUGAAUGAAGGAUAUUAGGACAUUGGAACCACAACAUUGCGUCUAUGUUUUUCUUUUUCCCUUUUGCCUGAACCCUUGGGUCUGCGGUUGAAGGUUGAAGCUGAAAAAAUAGAUAGACCCUCAGUAAAGGCUGGUUUUGGACUCCUGUGCCCCUUUAUGUUUUCAUUGUUUAUGCUUCAAUUUCUUUGUGAGGAUAUAAUAUGACCAAGUUGGGCAAGAAAAGAAACUAAGAUUUAAUGUACUUCAUGCAAUUUAGUGAAACUUUUGCAGAAAUGAUGUUCAAACACGGGUUUGUGCAUUGUGACCCACAUGCUGCCAACUUGUUAGUCCGACCUCUUCCUUAUAGCGGCAAGAGCAUUCUAGGCAAGAAAAAACCACAGUUUAUACUUCUAGACCUGGUAUGUAUAAGGAUCUUGAGACCAGAACUAACUACGCUAAACUGUGGAAGGGCAGCAGAAGUGGCCGUUCAGAACUGCAGUUAGUUGCAUCAGAUUCAUUAAAUCUAAGUGAAAAAUCAGAUUAGAAUGGAGUUCCAGAUUUCCUUGUGGUUAGAUUAUGAGUAUUCACUAUGGGGACUGCCUGAGGGAGGCAGUGAGAGGGCAAAAGCUAAGCAUGAAGUUCACCUCAGGUCUGCACGUAAGCUUCAAGAAUUAUGUUUCAGCAAUGGAGGCAUAUAUAUCAGGCUCGGUCAACACCUUGGACGGCUGGUCUUAGUUGCCCUGAUGAGGUUUUGGUGAAAUACGGAGUUCAAUAGUUGUUCGUCGUUCAGAUUUUCACACAAGUGAAUUUGCAAAGGAUGACGACCCCUCAUCCAAGGGGUAUGUUUAUCCUAAGUAUCCUUACUGCCGGCUAUGGGUUAAGCUUGCCGUUGAGACAACGCUUUUUGAUGGGAGUGAUAGUUAUCAUAGUGAAUAUUUCCGCAAAGCCUUAAUAGAAGAACGUGGUAUUGAGAUAGACGUUGGCGA